CACCACACCCCAAGCACAAUGCCUGGCCUGUCACAAGUACCCCACGCAUACACAGGAGUGUGUGGGCCAGUGGACUCCGGCUCUCUGGUGUAUGUCCAUCUCUGAGCACUGAUGGGUCAGUCCUGGGGUCGCCUCUGCAUAAGUUCAGUCCAUGGGUAUUUGAGUAGCCUAUAUUCUCAUCCCAUCACUGUGUCAAUCACUGGGGAGGUUCGGGGCAGCUGAUGAAGACUGGUCCCUGCCUCCAAGAAGCUUAGAGUAGGUGGAGAACAGAUUUAUGCACAUGGCACAAGUGUGCUUGUCCAGCCUACAGAUGCCAACGGAGUUCAGAGGCUGGGGCCCUCAGUCCAAAGAGGGUUGGCAUGUGGGAGGGGCAGGGAACAGGGCCAGGUCAUCACUUCUCAAGCUCUUGCUGUGCUCUCCUUCCUGCCUUUCCCCACCACAGUGCCAGCCUUAGGCCCCCGGUGCAGCCGGCAGAGGGGCAGGGUGGAGGCUAUGGGAGGAAGGAAGGUGGGCCAGAGCCUCUACCCUGCACGGGCGGCGGAUGGCAACAUGGAGUCCCGCAUCCAAGCUGUGUGUCUGCAGAGGGCAGAGAAAGCAUCCCAUCAACCUGAGCUGGUGAUAAGCCCUCCACCCGCCUGCCUGGUUCUGCUGUUGGACGUGCCCAAAAAGCAGGAACGAGGAACAGUAGCUGCUGGGCCCCGUGCUCUGAACCUCCUGCAUCAGCUGGUAAAACGCAGAGCCAAGGUUACCGCUAGGAAGUGAAAGAGGAUGUCCAGGAACCAGUUAGGUGUGCCAGGCUGGAGUGGAGAGGGCUGGCUGUGGUCAGCUCCCGGGAAGACUGACUCACCAUGGCCUUGCCUCUGAGUCACGCAGUGCCACACUGCACUGGGUGGCCCGCACGUGGUGCAGAGAGCGCUGCUUUAUGCCAGGGACUGACAGUUGGGGGUGGCAGGGGGGCUGGUCAGAAGGGUAAGGUGAGCCUGCCCCGCUCUUCAUCAUCACCAUCCUCAUCCUGGUGAAAGACGAGAGCAGGCAUGGUCGUCCACGCUGGAGGAAACUCAUGCACGUUUAGUCUGCUCCCCACCCCAAGACCACCCAUUUCAGAGACUGGGAGUGGUGGGAGCACGUGGCCUUUGGAGGCAGCAGACCUGGGUUCAGGUCCAGACUCCACUACUUGAUGGCUGGUAAGUCCUGGGUGAGUCACUCCAGCUCUCUGACCUGUUUCUCCAGCUGUAAAAUACAGAUAACACACCUGCCCCACCCACCUCAUGAUACUGAAUCAAGCCAUCAAAUGACGAGAGGCAGUGACCAGGAGGCUGUCUCCCUUGGGUUCUUGUUUGGAUGGAGGUGGCAAGGACAAUCAGCAUUCUUUUUUUUUUUUUUUUGGCUGCCCUGGAUCUUAGUUGCAGCAUGUGGGAUCUAGUUUCCUGACCAGGAAUUGAACCUGGACCCCAUGCAUUGGGAGCACAGAAUCUUAGCCACUGGAUCACCAGGGAAGCCCUGACAAUCAGCAUUCUUCAGGCAGCAAGUGAGGGCUUCAUGACUCGGGGGCUGAUCUGGGAUAGUUUUCUGUGUGUCAGGAUGCUUUUGGUUGCAAGCAAUAGUAAAUAAUCAGUCCAACUCAAAUUGGCUUACCCAACUGAAAAGUCCAGAGGUAGAUCCAGGCUGCAGGAGCAGUGUGACAGAGCUGUGGCCGUGUUUCUCAGUAAGUCUCUCAGGGAGUCUGUGUGGACUGGCCUCUGAGACAGGCUUCCUUCUAGGUAGGAAAAUGGUUGUUGGAGUCCCAAGCCACACAUUCCACCAUCCCUAACAGGAGAGAGCUGCUUUCCCCAGUCAUCAGAUGUCUAGGGCUUCCCUCUCUUUGGUCUAUUUUAGGCCACAUCCUUGACUCUAAAUCAGUCACUGAGGCUAGGACAAACUAUGCUGAUUGGCUUAGGCCUGGGUUAUUAUUAAACCUGAACAAGUUGCUGAAGCAGAAGGAUCAAUUAAAAUGAUUGGCUUGGGCCAGUCAGGACCUAGCCUGGACGGUGGUAGGGGGACACUCACACAAGCCUUUUGACUGCCACAGCUGGGGAGGGAAGGAAUGGAUGCCACAAUGUCCAUGACAGGCUUUUAGAAUCCACCAUCACGGAGAACAUAGUGAUUUGCAUUGCUAGCAUCCAUCUCCCCCUUUUAAGAAUCCGCCUGCAAUGCAGGAGACCCUGGCUCAAUUCCUGGGUCAGGAAGAUCCACUGGAGAAAGGAUAAGCUACCCACUCCAGUAUUCUUGGGCUUCCCUGGUGGCUCAGACGGCAAACAAUCCACCUGCAAUGCAGGAGACCUGGGUUGGGAAGAUCCCCCUGGAGAAGGGAAUGGCUCCCCACUCCAGUAUUCUGGCCUGGAGAAUUGCAUGGACAGAGGAGCCUGGCAGGUUAUAGUCCAUGGGGUCGCAAAAAGUCAGAUACAACUAAGCAACUUUCAUACACACACUGCUAAUUUGUACUGAGGCUUCAUUCUGUCCCCAUUCUUCGUCUUUGUGCUUCUGAUGGAGCCCCAUUUCCCACUCAUGGGAGGAGCAUAUGAUCAGUCAGGGUACUGUAGUCUCCUGGCCAUGGGAUUGCGUCUCAGAAAAGCACUUGUCUUGAUCAAAGCCAGUGAAAUGCAGUGAUACUCACUGGGAAGGACGUGCCUGCUGCUCUUGUCUGCUGAGCUUGACCCUAAGGGUACGUAAGGGCUGAAGCUGUUGCUGCUGCCAUUUUAGAAUCACGUGGAGAGAGCCUGAGGCCAGAGCCGAUACAGAAAGAUGGAGAGAAACCCACUGAAGCCACUCACAAAGCCACGCUAAUUCCUGAACGUUUCAGUUUAUGAGUCAACACAGUUCCUCUUUGCUUUAAGCCAGUUUGGGUCCGGUUUCCUGUCAGUUGCGACAGUUCUUUACAUCAUACAAUUCUCCUUCCUCUUCAAGGGCAAUGAAUGACCUGAGCAAUGCACAUGGGUGGUUAAAAUGUUUGGGCUGAAUGUUAACAAGUACCUUUUGUCAUUUAACACUAACAUCAUGUACAUGGAAAUCAUCCCAGCCAUGAGAGAUGUGGAAGAAUGUUGAAUGGAUGGGAUUUAGUCUAGAUUUAGGGGUAGGCAAAUACAGCCCAUGAGCCAAAUCUGGCUCACUACAUUUUCAUAAAGUUUUAUUGGUACAUAACCAUACUUUGCAGCUGUCUUCUACUACAAUGGUAGAGCAGAGUUGAGUAGUUGCUUGCAAAGCCUAAAAUAUUUAUCAAUAGCAUUUGGCCACGUGAUGCGAAGAGCUGACUCAUUUGAAAAGACCCUGAUGUUGGGAAAGAUUGAAGGCAGGAGGAGAAGGAGACGACAGAGGAUGAGAUGGUUAGAUGCCAUCACCAUUCAUAUCAAGCCCUAUUCAGGAAUAGAGAUGCAGAGUAGAGAAUGGACUUGGGGACACAGUGGGAGAAAGAGAGUGUGCUACGAAUUGAAACAGUAAGUAGCAUUGACAUAUAUACACUACCCUACUGUGUGUAAACUAGACAGCCAGGGGGCUCAGCUCAGGGCUCUGUGAUGGCUUAGGGGGCGAGGUAGGGGGGCAGUGGGAGGGAGGCUCAGGAGGGAGGGGGUAUGUGUGUACAUGCAGCUGAUUCCUGUUGUUGUACAGCAGAGACUUAACAUUGUAAAGCAAUUAUAUUUCAAUAAUAAAAGCAAAGGGGAAAGCUCUCCAGAAUAGAAUGGAAAAAACAUGUGAUUCAAGCCCUCCCAUCAGCGUUAGGAAAGCAGAGUUUCCCAUAUUUAUCCCAGAAUGAUGUGUCCUGAGUCUUUGUUAAGAUGUCAGCACUGUUAUCUAUACAUAUGACUUUUGAAGCCAACGGAUUCCAUGUCUACCAACAAUAAGCACACUUAGGGCACUGAAGAAGCUCCAUUUUUAAUUCCCGGCUAUCAAGCUUCUGCCAGAAGUGCAGCAUAGUUAAUACUGAUGAAAACAGCCAAGGCUAUAUAAGCCAUCACCCUGCCAGGAGUUUAUAAACUCCACUUCUCUGCUAAGUUAAAUCACCAGGAGUCAGCAUAUCAAGAUCCAAGGCUAGACCUCCGUGGAAGGCCAUCACAGAAAUGUUAUUUAAUAUUAUGGCCUCUGCUUUUGUGUGAGGUUUUCCAGAGAUGGGGCUUCAUGGAGGACACUCCUGCAUCAUUACAGCACAGUGGCCAUAAUCCAACUUGCAACUUCUCAGAAAUUAUACCAGAGGGCAGUUUAAGAACACUGUUGACUUGUAUUGUCAUCUCAGUCAAGUUUGCACUGGCUUAUCCACGAGGACCCCUUUCUGCUCAUAGUAGAGUCUGGCAGGCUUCCCAAUUUACAUAGCAUUCAAGAUGGGUCUGGGAUAGGUCCCAGGGGGGGUGUUGGGGCCCAUCUGGAGAUAAGAGAUCUGUAGUCAAUUUCUUUAUUGAUAGAGGAAAUAUUUGGGGCAACCUACCUUGAAUGCUGUGGAAGUGCCUCUAACUUAAGGAUCCAUGAUAAAUCUGAGGACCCACUUGGAAUGCUCUUUAAGUCAGGAAAUCCUCCAGACCCAAACGGGAGCAGAGAGGUCUCAUGGACACACCAGUCUAGACUCUCUUAAGGUAAGAAUAUCAGUGAACGAUCCUCUUUUUUUCUACCUUGCCAAAUUUCCCUACCCUUUGGGGCCUGGCUCAAAUCCUCCCUCCUUGGUAUAAAGCCAGUAUAGACUGAAGCAAUCCUUUCUCUUAACCACACCAAUUACUACUGCAAUUAAUCUCUUAAUACCUUGAGGCUACUAGUGUUAGAGGGUUGGCCUUUCGUUGUAGUGAUGGGAGGGUGCAUUUCAACAUGUUGCUUUGUAGCCUGAACAUUUGUUAGCCUGGCAAAAACAGAACAGGGACAAGAAUUACAUGCCAGGAUGUGGACCUGGUCGAUGCUCUACCUCUGUAGGCACCUUCUUCUUUCCCAUCAAGGAGGGACAGGCCACAAAGCACCCGCCUUCUUGGCUUCUCCUUGGGAGAGGCUCUCUGACCAGGUGAGGAACACCAGGUUAGCACAUGAUUCCAACCUGCCCCUGCAAUAGC
ensembl:lncRNA